rnacentral:rRNA from 1 species
CCUACGGGAGGCAGCAGUGAGGAAUAUUGGUCAAUGGGAGAGAUCCUGAACCAGCCAAGCCGCGUGAGGGAAGACGGCCCUAUGGGUUGUAAACCUUUUUUGUCGGAGAACAAAACCCGGGACGUGUCCCCGACUGCGUGUAUCCGCAGAAAAAGCAUCGGCUAACUCCGUGCCAGCAGCCGCUGUAAUCCGGAGGAUGCGAGCGUUAUCCGGAUUUAUUGGGUUUAAGGGGUGAGUAGGCGGUCCGUUAAGUCAGCGGUAAAACUGCGGGGCUCAACCCCGUCGAGCCGUUGAAACUGGCAGACUUGAGUUGGCGAGAAGUACGCGGAAUGCGCGGUGUAGCGGUGAAAUGCAUAGAUAUCGCGCAGAACUCCGAUUGCGAAGGCAGCGUACCGGCGCCAGACUGACGCUGAGGCACGAAAGCGUGGGGAUCGAACAGGAUUAGAUACCCUAGUAGUC